AUUGAACGCUGGCGGCAGGCUUAACACAUGCAAGUCGAGCGGGGGAAGGUAGCUUGCUACCGGACCUAGCGGCGGACGGGUGAGUAAUGCUUAGGAAUCUGCCUAUUAGUGGGGGACAACAUCUCGAAAGGGAUGCUAAUACCGCAUACGUCCUACGGGAGAAAGCAGGGGAUCUUCGGACCUCGCGCUAAUAGAUGAGCCUAAGUCGGAUUAGCUAGUUGGGGGGGUAAAGGCCUACCAAGGCGACGAUCUGUAGCGGGUCUGAGAGGAUGAUGCGCCACGCUGGGACUUGGACACGGACCAGACUCCUACGGGAGGCAGCAGUGGGGAAUAUUGGACAAUGGGGGGAACCCUGAUCCAGCCAUGCCGCGUGUGUGAAGAAGGCCUUAUGGUUGUAAAGCACUUUAAGCGAGGAGGAGGCUACUUUAGUUAAUACCUAGAGAUAGUGGACGUUACUCGCAGAAUAAGCACCGGCUAACUCUGUGCCAGCAGCCGCAGUAA
rnacentral:rRNA from 1 species